GGGUAUUGUAUUGCUGUCCAAGAUUGUCUCCACCCUUAACCAUUUGGACUCCAGGGGUGGCAUGAAUGAAUGUUGGAUUUCCAGGCGCACCUGGCCAGGAUGCUGGAUUAACCGAAAUGAAGCCAAUGACAAAAUCAGAAUGUUCUUCUGCAAUUUUAACAGCUGCAGAUGUAUAAUCUCCCGUGGCAAGAUUUCCAGCUGAGCUCAUUUCAGC
rnacentral:misc_RNA from 1 species